AGCUUUAUAUUCAACUAUGAUACUAAAUUGCAAAUUUAGGGGUAAAGGGAACUUUUAAGGCUU
rnacentral:tRNA from 1 species